rnacentral:lncRNA from 1 species
AGUAAUUGUAGUCACUGUGUAAAUAGACAAUGUUUCAGUGGCACUCACUCCAAUAGUUCUAUAUACCCGGACAAAAACCUCCCAACCUUACCAUAUUUUAAUGUACAUUUUCUUUAAAUCUGAAAGCUGAAGCUGGGACACUCCCAUGCAUUUCAUUCUGCCAACGACCUAGGCCUUUUUAACAGUUACAGCAUCUGUGUUUGAUUUGUGUAAAAACAUUUCCAGGAUUUGGGACUGUAGUCUAUGGUUGAUCGUCACUAUAUUCUAGGUUGAUCAGUCACUAUAUUCAGGUGAUCGUCACUAUAUUCUAGGUUGAUCAGUCACUAUAUUCUAGGUUGAUCAGUCACUAUAGUCUAUGGUUGAUCAGUCACUAUAGUCUAUGGUUGAUCAGUCACUAUAGUCUAUGGUUGAUCAGUCACUAUCGUCUAUGGUUGAUCAGUCCAUAUAGUCUAUUGGUUGAUCCGUCCACUAUAGUCUCUGGUUG